CACCUCCACAUGAUCACUUCCAUGAGCAGAAGGAAGCCAUCCACUCUAUCAUGACAUGAAUAUCAUAUAUGCAAUAACAACUUGCAAUUUUGAUGACCAUAGAGAGUCAAAGGAGAAAAAUUAGAAAUAUGGAGGAAUUCUAAGCAAAUCUCGGCAAAAAAACUAACUUUGGUGCUUUCGAAGCGGAAACUCAGGGAAUCUCAAGCAUUGGAUCUGAGACUGAGCCAUGAAGAAUCUUUCUCAUAGAAGUUAUCUAAAGAACUACAACACAAAAGCACAAGGCAUAAGCCACAAAAGAAACCCACCUUGGAAGGAAACCUUUGCAAUUGAAGCCAUGUUAUCACCAUUGAAGUCAUGCUCUGGAAAGUUUUUAAAAAUAGAGUAAUUCCUCUGUUUUGAGAGACUUCUGGACAGAUUCUAGAGAGAUACUUUAGAGAGUUUCUUAUACACUUUCUUCUAUUAAAGAACAUUAUUAGAGAGUUAGGAGAUGAGGUCUUUUCUUUGUAUUGAAUUUUUUCCAAGAGGAGCGAAAUCUCGUAAGUGUUGAAUUGAGAUAUAACCCUUUAAAAUUAUCUUGUAAUUGGUACUUUUUUAUUUAUGAAAGUAUGCUUUUAAUUA